CUUUUAUGGAGAGUUUGAUCCUGGCUCAGGACGA
rnacentral:rRNA from 2 species